GCAAGAGCAGGCAUAGGAGCCGCGGUUGGGAGAGGCACAGCGCAGCGCCUCCCCCAGCCAUGGCUCCUGUGCCUGCCCUUGC
rnacentral:miRNA from 1 species